rnacentral:rRNA from 1 species
UACGUAGGGGGCCAGCGUUGUCCGGAUUCAUUGGGCGUAAAGCGCGUGUAGGCGGCCAGGUAGGUCCGAUGUGAAAUCUGGAGGCUCAACCUCCAGCGGUCAUUGGAAACCAUCUGGCUAGAGUCCGGAAGAGGAGAGUGGAAUUCCUGGUGUAGCGGUGAAAUGCGCAGAUAUCAGGAAGAACACCCGUGGCGAAGGCGGCUCUCUGGGACGGUACUGACGCUGAGACGCGAAAGCGUGGGGAGCGAACAGG